GGAUUGUGGCUCAUCGGUAGAUCGCUCGCCUAGCACAGGUGAGACCUGAGUUCGAUUCUCAGCACCA
rnacentral:tRNA from 1 species